rnacentral:rRNA from 1 species
AUGUGGGAGGAAUGCUUGCCUCAUAUUGAAUUUGCUUAUAAUCGUUCAUUGCAUUCUACUACUAAGAUGUGCCCUUUUGAAGUUGUGUAUGGUUUCCUACCUCGUUCACCUAUUGAUUUGUUGCCUCUUCCAUCUUCGGAGAAGGUUAAUUUUGAUGCUAAACAACGUGCUGAAUUGAUUUUAAAAAUGCAUGAGUUAACUAAGGAAAACAUUGAGCGCAUGAAUGCUAAAUAUAAACUUGCUGGAGAUAAGGGUAGAAAACAUGUUGUGUUUGCACCUGGAGAUCUUGUUUGGUUACAUUUGCGUAAGGAUAGAUUUCCUGAUUUGCGCAAAUCAAAGUUAAUGCCACGUGCUGAUGGUCCCUUUAAGGUGUUAGAGAAAAUAAGUGAUAAUGCAUAUAAACUUGAGCUGCCUGCAGAUUUUGGGGUUAGUCCCACUUUUAACAUUGCAGAUUUGAAGCCUUAUUUGGGUGAGGAAGAUGAACUUCCGUCGAGGACGACUUCAUUUCAAGAAGGGGAGGAUGAUGAGGACAUCAAUACAAUUGUUACACCCACAGCCCCUGCUGCUAUACAUACUGGACCAAUUACUAGAGCUCGUGCACGCCAACUAAACUACCAGGAAACAGACCCUCGUGGUCAGGUUGAUCGUGCUCCGGCGUGGUCAAUAACCUCUCGGAGUUGGUUUAGCGAUUGCUAA